GUCUCCUGGUUCCCAGGCCUUCAGACUUGGAAUGAGCCAGUCUACCAGCUUCCCUGGUUCCCCAGCUUGCAGGCAGCAGGUCACGGGACAUCUCAGCCUGUGUAGUUGUGUGAGCUAAUUCCUAUAGUAAAUCCCCUCUCAUUUUUCUAUUAUCUAUCUCAUUGGUUCUGUCUCUCUGGAAAACCCUGACUAAUAAGACAUAUUCCUGGGCCAACUUUAUCCAGCUAAGCCUGGCUUCCUCUCUCAAAGUUCCCCAUGACUGUGAGUAAUCAGCUCUCUUUCCAAUGACAGUUGUGUCCAGGCAGUGGACAAUAAAACCCACAGUUUAUAACAACCAGUCAUUUACUGUCUCCAUGGAUUGGCUAGCUCUGGGAAGGGCAGCCUCUCAGAGUUACUAGGGGCCCAGAUGUCAAAUCAUUAGAAUCAAAAGACAGCUGAGUUCAAGGAGCCUGUCUUCUUGGGCAUACCUGCCCAGAGCAGGUCUCAGUAAGUAGGUGAAACCAGGUCUAAACUGGGAGCUGGAGAGAGGAAGAGUCCUGUCUUUUUGGUUGUGCUCACUUGAAUUCUAGCUCCUGGAGUGCUUUCUCUAAGAUAGACCUUGGGACUGGGGGACUGAGCUAGUACUAUCCACAGAUGCUCCCUGUUCUUAUGAAGAUUUGGUAGAUUUUCUUGAAUAAAUGCUUCUCUAUUUUGGUAUGCCACCAGAACAAUUUCCAGAGACUUUAAAUGACUGUUUUUACAACUUUCUGUAGGUGAAUGGUGUUUGUUAGGGAGAAUGUCCGCUGCGGUCCUCACUCCCCUGUCCCAGAGGUCAGUCUCCUGCAGUUCAUCCUAAUACAAGUAUACAGAUUAAAAUAAGACUGGUUGUGGAGAAAAGAAGAGAGAGACAGUUAAGGGGACAAGAAGUUCAUGUUACAAGGACAAGCACGUCUUUCAGUGAGCCUUGCUAAACCAUGCAUCCUGCUGGAGAUCUGGAGAAAGCCAGGUUAUGGGUCAGCCACAGGCUCCAGAGGGAAGAUAUGCCCACAAGAGGGCCCCAGAACUCAGCACACAUCUGCUGCAAGAUGGGAGCUGCAGGCAGGAACGUGGAGGCAUCAGAGCCAGGACGCAUUUAAUAAGCAGUGUGACAAGGAAUAAAAUAACUAUUAAUAAGGUACUUUGCAGACUUGAUUCCAGCCCCAUUAAACUUUCCUUUACCUUAUUUCACACUCCAUUUCCAAAGUACCCUCUUCUCACCCCCCACCUUUAAUGGUUCUGGCAAACUUGGGUCCUAAUGAAGUCUGGCAGCAUAAAUUUAAGGCAGUGUCUGGCUGAACUGAACAGAAGCCCG
rnacentral:lncRNA from 13 species